rnacentral:rRNA from 1 species
GACAGAGGAUGCAAGCGUUAUCCGGAAUGAUUGGGCGUAAAGAGCUCGUAGGCGGUGUGUCGCGUCGGUCGUGAAAACUUGGGGCUUAACCCUGAGCUUGCGGUCGAUACGGGCAUCACUGGAGUUCGGCAGGGGAGACUGGAAUUCCUGGUGUAGCGGUGAAAUGCGCAGAUAUCAGGAGGAACACCGGUGGCGAAGGCGGGUCUCUGGGCCGAUACUGACGCUGAGGAGCGAAAGCGUGGGGAGCGAACAGG